UCACAUCCCUCCUCGCAAAGCUGU
rnacentral:siRNA from 1 species